GAUGAAGAACGUAGCGAAAUGCGAUAAGUAAUGUGAAUUGCAGAAUUCAGUGAACCAUCGAAUCUUUGAACGCACAUUGCGCCCGGCAGUAAUCUGCCGGGCAUGCCUGUCCGAGCGUCAUUUCUCCCCUCGAGCGCAGCUUUCCCCCCCGGGGAGGGCCGCGCCCGGUGUUGGGGCGCUACGGAGGAGCCCAGCGCUCCCCCGUAGGCCCCGAAAUGUAGUGGCGGUCCCGCCGCGGCGCCCCCUGCGUAGUAGUUUUACAACUCGCAUCGGGUCCCGGCGGAGGCCAGCCGUCAAACCCCCCAACUUCAAUAGUUUGACCUCGGAUCAGGUAGGGUUACCCGCUGAACUUAAGCAUAUCAAUAAGCGGAGGA
rnacentral:misc_RNA from 1 species